AAUUUUUUGUUAAUUUGUCUAUGUGCAACAUACAUACAAAUGUAUGUAAAUAUGUAUACUCAAUACUUCAAGCGAAAUCUCCGUUGACCCGGACAACCAAUGGAAAGCGCGCGACGUCAAAGCGCCACAACAUUGUGUUGUUGGCAGAAAAUCCGAGCUGAGCCGAAAAAAUAAGUGAACGACCCAAAAAAAUCGAUUUUUUCAGUGAAAUGAAUACCAGUUGCGUAAAAAGGUUUAUUUCGCCAAAUCUUUCGUUCAAUUAUGGCGUUAUGAUAUAAACUAAAGAAAUUUUUAUUUUAUUUGAUUGCAGAUGAACCAUCACUUAUAGAUAUGUCAUCAUAAGAUGAUUAUAAGAGCCGUUAAAGGUCGACUUGAAGAAGCGUGUCUUGACCCACAUGGUUGAAAUUUCUCAAGCGAACAUCAACAUUUAAAAAUCAAAUAUGAAAAUAUGGAGACAGGAAUUCGCAUUCCUGGCGACUUUGGAUGCCCGCUAAAACCUUGGCUCCAUAUAGAAUUCUUUCCGAAAACUCUGUUGAAAGUUAUUUCAACAUAUAAUUUUCAAAAGCCAGAUCCAUUAUCAAAUGUGUAUUUUGAGUAUUAAAAGCGUUGUUUCAAUUGCUAUUAGGUGAUAAAGAACUGAUAUAAACAUUUAUUUGAAACUUUAAGAUUAUUGUACUAAAUAUAUACAUAAUAUGCGAAGAAAACUAUGAACUAUGGGGUAUAGUAUUUAUCGCAGUUCUUAAACGUUUCC